CCUACGGGAGGCAGCAGUAAGGAAUAUUGGUCAAUGGACGAAAGUCUGAACCAGCCAUGCCGCGUGAAGGAUGACGGCCCUCUGGGUUGUAAACUUCUUUUAUCUGGGACGAAAAAAGGGAAUUCUUUCUCACUUGACGGUACCAGAGGAAUAAGCACCGGCUAACUCCGUGCCAGCAGCCGCGGUAAUACGGAGGGUGCAAGCGUUAUCCGGAUUCACUGGGUUUAAAGGGAGCGUAGGUGGGCAGGUAAGUCAGUGGUGAAAUCUCCGGGCUUAACCCGGAAACUGCCAUUGAUACUAUUUGUCUUGAAUUAUCUGGAGGUAAGCGGAAUAUGUCAUGUAGCGGUGAAAUGCUUAGAUAUGACAUAGAACACCCAUUGCGAAGGCAGCUUACUACGGAUAUAUUGACACUGAGGCUCGAAAGCGUGGGGAUCAAACAGGAUUAGAUACCCUGGUAGUCCACGCCCUAAACCGAUGGAUACUCGACAUCAGCGAUACACUGUUGGUGUCUGAGCGAAAGCAUUAAGUAUCCCACCUGGGAAGUACGACCGCAAGGUUGAAACUCAAAGGAAUUGACGG
rnacentral:rRNA from 1 species